UCCCUAGUUAUGACUGUGGCUGCCUUGU
rnacentral:piRNA from 1 species